UACGUAGGGGGCGAGCGUUGUCCGGAAUUACUGGGCGUAAAGCGUGCGCAGGCGGUUUGCUAAGACAGGUGUGAAAUCCCCGGGCUCAACCCGGGAACUGCGUCCGAUACUGGCAGGCUUGAAUCCGGGAGAGGGAUGCGGAAUUCCAGGUGUAGCGGUGAAAUGCGUAGAGAUCGGGAGGAACACCCGUGGCGAAGGCGGCCAUCUGGACCAGCACUGACGCUGAGGCACGAAAGCGUGGGGAGCAAACAGG
rnacentral:rRNA from 1 species